rnacentral:lncRNA from 1 species
AAAAAAAAAUGUUGAAAUUGCUCCAGCCUUGCUUAUUGUCUAGGAUAGUUGCUUUACUAGAAUGCUAAGAUCGCAAGAGGCUUUUACCUUUGUAUCAGAUGGUGAACAGGUAGUGGAUUUGGGCUUUGAUGCCCUCAAUCAUUGUUCCUGACUUGUUCACGCAAUCGACUUUGAUGAUUUUCUUCUGAUUUGAUGAAGACUUAUGAUUGAGGGUGUCAGCUCUUUGAAGGUCCCCGCUGCUGGUUGUCUUAGUGUAUCGCUGUUUCUUCCUUUCUGGGAUUUCUGCCAAAAUUGAUGGAAUGACAUUAAAGUGUUGUUGGGUCUUCUCCACAUGGGUCGCUGACUUGGAGGGUUGUUCUUGGGCGUAGACUUGGGAUUGAUGUUUGGGUUUGGAUGUUUGUUUUGAGGUUCAGACUACACCACUGAUGGUUGCCUACGUACUCCUGUAUGUGAGGGAGAUCAAGUCUGUGUAGUUCCUGCUUGAUAAGAUAAAUGGUUUGAGAAAUGUUUGUAUGGGUUUUUGUUUGGUUUAACUGCACCAUAAAUGGCUACCUACGUACUCCUAUUGGAGAGGAGAUCAGGUCUUUCGUAGUUCAGGCUUGAUGAAACCUGAAUGAUUUGAUUUUUGAUUUUUGAUUUUUAAUUUUUGAUUUCUUUUCUUUUCUUUUCUUUUUUUUCUUUCUUUUUUUUUCUUUUCUUUUCUUUUUCUUUUCUUCUUUUUUUUUUCUUUUGCUUUUUUUUCUUUUUUCUUUUUUUUCAAUAUUUACAUGCAUGGAAAAUAAAAGGCAUACUACGAAGAAAGUGAUACCGUCCCAACAUCUUCUGGAACUCGUAACCUUAUCCCCUACUUCUUGGCUAGUUGAAGCCUGAUAGUCCAGUUGUUAGUGGUUAUGUUACCUUCAAGGCUCGCGAUAGAGGUUACUUCUUGGUUCUGAAUGUCUUCACUUAUGGCCAUAACUUGAUGACUUCCUGAUUUAGUACAUUCCUUAGAGACGCUUGAACUGAACCCCUCACAAACAGGGAUGAAAUCUGGAUUCUUUGAGGGGUUGGUUUCCUUGAUAACCUCACCACAUUUUCCUUCAUCUGUUCCUUUGCAUUUUUUCUGGGCUUUAGAGGAUUCGACUAUGAAUUCUCCCUCAAACUGUGGUUGUAUUUCUUGUAGGGAACUUUUCUUUUUGGCUUUUUCUUCCUUGGAAAGGAUUAGUAUUUCCUCCGCAUCAUCCAAGGUUAUAAAAUCAAGAACGUGGAUGCUAUCUUUGGACCAGAAGAUGCUUGAUGUUGGCGAAGGAGUAUUCUUUGGGGAUUCUCGUGUCUCCUCUAUCAUUCGAUGCACUAAGAUCAUUCCAUCUUGUGUUCUGCCAGGAUUAUCGCUCGUAGCCUUCACAUUAUCUGAACUGCAUGUCUCGAGUGGACAUCUUAAGCUUUUUAUUUCUUUUUCGCCUUUUUUGGUCAUGGGGAAUUCUAUCUCCAGCUCUCCAUUUUCAAUGAGAUCCUGUAUUUUAUGUCGCAAAGACCAGCAUUCCUCAGUCGUAUGUCCAAGUGAGUUAGAAUGGUAGAGACAUAUUUUGGUGGAAUCAUAACUCUUUAUCUUGGGAUUUAUAGGAGGCAGCAACUCAGUAAUCCUUCCUUCGCUUAUCAGAAAGUGUAGCAUUUCUUCAUUGGAUUUGCUUAGAGGGGUGAAUUUUCGGACUCUUGUGGAGGUUUUUUGAUCUUUCUUUUUUGAGAAUUCGCAUUCCCCUGAGCGAUUUUUCCGUUGGCGAUGUCUUCUAGUAAUUUUAUCAUCCCCUUUUUCUAGGCAUUCUGAUAGUUGAGUGAAAAACUGCCUCGUAUCCUGAUGUUGGCGCACUAUCAGCUUAGCUAGCAGAUUUACUUGAUUCUGGAUUAUCUCUAAUUUUUUCAUUACUAUGAUACCCUCUUCCGAGUUUUCCCACUUUAGGGCAUUUGUUCUGUGCCUUUGGGGGUAGUCCUCUAUCCUUCGUAUGCACUUACGAAUUAGAUAUAUUUCAGCGCUUCCUGACCCGAUCAUGUUUACUUCCCCCGUAUCAUGCUGUAACUUGACAUUUUGUUGAUCAGGUUGUUGGUCCAUAAUACUACCACUUUCGAUCAUAUUUUAAAUUUUAUGCUUUAAAGACCAACAAUCUUGUGUAUCGUGUCCUGGAGACCCCGAGUGGUAAGCACAUCUUUGGCUUGGAUUGUAUCUUUUGCUCCCCGGUUCCAAAGGUGGAGCCAGUUCGGUAAUUUGCUUAUGAUCCAUCAAUAUCGCCAAUACAUUUUCAAGAGAAUCGCCUAGUGGAGUGAACACCCGAUUUUCUGUUCUUUCAAAUUUUCUUUUCCUGUCUGGGCAUUGGUUGAAUGCAGCCUGUUGUUGAGAUGGCAGAUUAUCUUGCAUUUUCUAAAUGGGGGGGAUUGUAGGUUGGUCUCCUAGCUUUCCCCUGUACAACAAGGGAUACAUUUUCAAUGCCUUUAUCGGGUACACCCUUGGGAUCACUCGCAUAUUUUCUAGUCUGUAUAUGCUUGGCAACUGCUUCCAUGGCAGUGAAGUCUUUAAUCUUGUCUGCCUUUAGGCCCAUUUCUGCCAUUUCGCCGUGUUUGAUCAUUUUCGAGAAUGGCUUUCCUAUGCCUGCUAGGAUCCUCUCAUAGUAAGGCGCCUCUUGAAUGUUAAUAAACGUCAUUACCAUCUUAGUUUCCGUCAUUAAUGGAAUGACUUGCGCUGCGAGAUGUCUCCACCUUUGGGCAUAUUCUCGGAAAGAUUCAGUACUUUGCUUUUUGACUUUAGUCACUUGGUAUCGAUCCGGUGCAAUUUGUGACUGAAAAUUGUACUGAUUUAGAAAGGCGUGGGCCAAUUUUUCCCAGUUGUGGAUUUUGGCAUUGUCAAGUCGGGCAUACCAGACUUUAGCCUCUCCGGUGACUCUUUUGAAAAAUUUGCAUUCUGAGGCUUUCAUCUUCAGCAUAAGACCCCAAUUCGCCAAUAUACACUUUCAGAUGCGUAUAGGGAUCGCUUGCCCCAUUGUACUUUUCAAACUCUAGGACUUUGAAUUUGGCAGGAUAUCGAGCCCCUGGGAAUAUGCAGAGAUCUGAAUAGGUGACACUCCCAUAGUUUCCAGUCCCUUUGAUUGACCGGAUGGUCUCCUCCAUUUGUUGGACUUUCUUUCUUAUAUCCCCAGUUUCUCGAUCAUCCCUGAGAUUUGUGAUUUCUUUAUUGGAAUGAGGUUUAGGUAUUUGGGUUUCCAUCUUUUUGCCAAUACCCUGACUGCCCCCUGGUGUGGAUUACUCUGGUUGAAUAGGCAUUGUUGUUGCCUCUUUUUCAGUUCUAACAAAAGAGCUCUAACUCAUGCAAGCAUACAUGUGUCAACAAGUAAUACAGAGUAAGUAGAGUAUCGUCCCACAGAGAAAGUUUCUAAAUCAAAUUAUUAUGCAUCAACUAAAUCACUAUUUUUAUAUGCUUAAACUAAUAAAUAUGAUUAUGAUUUAAAACUACUUUAAAAUCAAAUAACAACUAAAAUAAGAAUAAUACUGAAAUAUAUCAAAUAUGGAAAUAAUGGGAUCCUAACUUCAUUUAAUAGUUCAUCUAAUUACCACCAUCAUGCAAGAUCGUUCACAUAUCCCAGGAAAGUAGCCAAGAGCACUAAUGUAGACAUAACCAUUUUUCAAUGCAUUAUGACCCACUUACACAUCAUCCACAUGCAAUAGACACCAUGUAAUCAUUAAUAUAACCAAAAUCACUAUAUGUCUAUGUGAAAUUGCAACUAUAUUGAAUUUAAGCACACGCCCUUAUUUUAACUCAUACGGUGAAACAAUAUAUGUCUAUCUGAUUCACGAAAUACCUCUACACAAAACAGCCCCAUAUAUGCAUGCUAUCAUGAUUACAAUCCAUACUCGCAUGUUGUUUUUCAAUUCCAUACAAGUAACUAAAUCGAAUGGUGAUCAAUCAUUCAUGCAUGCAAAUCAACCAUGAUAGAAAUUCCUUAUGAUAUGUAAAACAGACCAGCAUUCAAGCAUGCAAUUAAACUACAUAUUAAAAUCCGUUAGAAUCCCAUAAUGGAGUUUAGUUCAUGACUGAACCAAAAGCAAUCAUGGGAUUAAAGCUAAACAUGGAUGAUAAGUAAAUAAUUGAAAGAGAAGGAUAGAAACGAUCAAACCCAAUUGCUGAUUAUAAUCCAAUAGUAACGUUCAAUUCCGCAUUAAAAUCCAGCAAAAGAAACAAUAGUGUUCCACCGUGAUUGAAAUCUAAUGGAAGAAAUAGAAAAUAUGGAGUUUUGGCUUCGUUCUACGUUGGAAUUUUCUCCAAGUGUAAACCCUAGUUCCCAAUAUGAAAAUACGUAAAAACUAAUGAAUCAUCCCUCUGACACCAGUCAGAAUUGUUUUUAAUUAAUUACCACUCUCAAAAAUAAAAAUUAAAACAAAACAACUCAGCAGCUUCAGUCAUCGCGCGCAGGCGCGCGUGUGUAAGCCUAUAUAGCCGCGCGGCCGCGCAGCUUCUGCAACUUGAGUUCUGGUUCUGCUGCUGCUACUGAUUUGUUCUGUUGCUCAUUCCUUUCAUGCUGCUCAUUCUUCUGUCCAUCCAUGCUUAGUCUCCUUUCUCCACUUGAUCCUCACGCCAUGCAUCCAUCAGCCUCAUGCCAUCUAACAUCACCAAAUUAUGCCAUAUCCUGCACUUUUACACUAAAGGAAUUUUAAGUAUAUGCAAUGCAAAAUAACAUGAAACGCAACUAAAAACACACUAAAAUGUACUUGAGAUGGGCAUAGUUCGCGUGAAUUGAUAUCAUUAAGUAGGUGUAAAACCCACUUAUCAAAUACCCCCAAACUUGAACUGUUGCUUGCCCUCAAGCAAUGCAUACUAAAACAAAGCAAUGAAAAUGCAACUACACUACUAUGCAACUAACUUAUGAUGUAAACUAGUCUCACAUUGUUCCAGCUCUAACAGAAUUUCAGUCCAAAAUGCCUCAGCGAAUUAUCCAGAUUCAAGAAUACAAAUUCAAACCAAACUAUAGGCAUAAUAUCAUACACUCAGAUAAUUCAUAAAUGCUAUAGAGAUGUUGUGUGUGUGUGUGUGUUGUGUUCACCCAAAACUUGAUUUAAUCAAAGAAUACACAUGUUAAACUGCUCAAAACAGAAAAUUAUAGUCUAAAUCAAGACUCAUGUAUACUUGUGCAACGAAGACUGUUCCAACACAUCAAAACAAACUGAGGUUCUACAAUGGGUUUAACUUCUUUAUUGCUACUCAUGAGGGCGAUUUUUGAUCUUUCUCGCGAUGUUUAUUGCUAUUUUUUUUUUCUCAGCGAGUGCGUUUUACGCUCCAUCUCGCUCCCUCCAAAGAGUCUAUCAUUUUGCUCAAGAAGGUUUCAAGAUAGCUUUUGCUUUUCUUUUUUUCUUUUUUUUAUACAUAGCAUACCCAUGUGUUCCCACCGUUUGAUUAUCAUGUUUUAUACAGUCUAAGUUCACUUUCUACAAAUUUCUCUUUUUUUAAAACCACAUUUUCUAUUAAGCAAUGCAACACAUUAUUCUUAAGCCUACAAGUAAUUGUGAAAACGUCCGUGCAAACUGAAAGCAUUUAAACAGCAACAUGAAUUUCAUCGUGUAAAACAUUAUAACUAGGUUCAUGUUAUCUAACAUACUCAAAAAUCUUUCAAAAUUCACUAUCAUCACUGGCUAGACAAGAUUUCCAUAAAGCUAGACUUUGUGAGACAUGCAAACUAAAAAAAUAAAAUUUCUAACACAUAAACAAAUAAAUUAUCAAACUAAACAUGCAACAUGCAAAUAAACAUGCAAAAAUUUAAACUAAUCAUGCAAAUACUACAUGCAACUAUACUACUACCCCAAUACCCUCAAACUUAUAAUAUUCAAUGUCCUAGUGAAUAAAGGUAAAGGGUUAAAAGAGAACUCCCCUAAUGAUCGGUAGCACCACCCUCUUCGGGUAGUGAAUCUGGUGGUGGAUAUGGCACAGCUAUCCCGAACUGAGACCACUCUAGCAUCAUCCCAUGCUGUGCAAAAGCCUCGACCAAGGCCCUCGUGAGACCCGUAGCAAACGCUCCAAAGUUAUCGUACAUGGCAUCAACCUUACGCUCCAACCUUCAAAGCUGGCGAUCACCAUGGGCAGCAGGUGCUUGCGUGGACGGGCCCGCCUCAUCUGUCUGAGAGGGCUGCUGUGAUGGCUCUGGGAAAGUGGGCUGGAGGAUAAAUCCUCUUCCUCACGGGUGCGGUACGCCUCCUGCCCAAUCCUCAAAUAUCGCAAUGGUGGCAUGAGUGAUGUCCUGGCUCGGGUUUUACAUUUUUUUGUUUCCCCAGUUGCAUCCCUGAUGAGCACAUAGCAUAGCUACCACUGACGCGUGUGGAAUGCUCCCAGUGGUGCUUCCCCACAGAUAUCGCAGCAUAUUCUGAUAAAUGAGAUGGCCCACAUCAAUAUAUUUUCCGGUGAUUAUGCCCCAUAGAAUGAUUGCCCUCUCCGCUGUGAUCUCAUGCUGAUGAGACGAAGGCACUAGCUUGGCACAUAUGAACAAAUUCCACGCCUUUGCAUAUAGAUUUAGGGUGGCUGUUGGGAAUAUACGAGGCUGGUUCGUGUCGGCUUUGUAGGUCCACUUCGUGCCUGGAACGCACAAUUCAGCAAUAACUAGUUCCAAGUCUGUUUCCAUAUGUUCCCUUGUGACCCAAUUAGCAGCCCCUGUUGGCAGUGUAUCAGUGAGUCUAAAAAUGGUUCUGAUGGCAGGGGGUCUGUAGUCUAUCUCGAAACCGCGAACCAUAGAGAUACCGCUCAUGGUGACUUUGGCAUUGGCAUAAAACUCUCGAACUAUGCUCAUCAGAAUGGGCGUGGGAGUGGCAGUCAGUCCAUCCCAGCCUCUUUCACGGAUCAUGUCACAUAACUGCCCGUCUUGUCCUUCCGGCUUGAAUCCCCUUUCUUUCACAAAUGUCUUAGCUACAAUUCGGUAGUACUCCUGUUGGGCUUCCAAACACAGAAAUUUGUUGUGAUCGACAAUAUCCCCCCUUGACUGCCAGAUGAAGAUGAUGACGAAGAAACUGAGUGAGCUCGCUUAGGACACAUUUGCAGUGGAUAGAGAAGAUGAAACUUUGCUUGAGACGUAGUGAUAGCAGAAGCUUGGAUUUUAACCACACUGAUUUCGCACAGCCCUCUCUUGAAACCCUAGUUUAUAUCAGUGGAUGAGAGCGUGGGUCUGAGCUUUGAAUGUGGAGAGAAUCGUGGGUAGGUGCUGAGAGAUGUACGACUUCAAUUUUCAACUGAAAGUGUGGGAUAGACGUGUGUUAUGGAGACUGAGAUGAUUGCGCUUCUGUUAUAAUUUCAAAUGAGAGCCCAAAUGGUUCCCAACACAUUUUUAAAACUUAAAAAGAAAAUUUCUCGUUCCGGUGUUGCGCGNNNNNNNNNNNNNNNNNNNNNNNNNNNNNNNNNNNNNNNNNNNNNNNNNNNNNNNNNNNNNNNNNNNNNNNNNNNNNNNNNNNNNNNNNNNNNNNNNNNNNNNNNNNNNNNNNNNNNNNNNNNNNNNNNNNNNNNNNNNNNNNNNNNNNNNNNNNNNNNNNNNNNNNNNNNNNNNNNNNNNNNNNNNNNNNNNNNNNNNNNNNNNNNNNNNNNNNGAAUUCCUCCAUUUGAAAUUAUAGUUGAACUAAAGGUAGAGGGUUUAGAGGGUUAUCAAAUGAUACAUAGUGCGAUACAGUCAAAACACGGUAUUAUAGUAAGAAACGAAUAGAUACCUUGGAUAGUGGUAAACUUAUCCAAGAAAUUCUAGGACCCGGAUAAGACUUUGUAAUACCCUUUCAAUUCACAUAUAAUUGACAUAGACCCAAGUUUUCUAGUCUACCUAUACAGUAACGGUAUUUAAUUAACUUUGACCGGCAUGUCGCGCGGGCGCGCACAUUUAUAUUGUAUUACUUGUACGGCCGCGCAAUCCUGAUAUCUGCACUGCUAAUUUUCAAUUCCAAUCUGCAUAUCAGUGAUGACUUCAAUUGCAGAUACCUAUAUAGACAUUAAUGCAUACUGUUAAGGCAUGAAUUAAUGACCAAAUAAACUCUAACCUAUUUCAAACAUUCUCAAAUCAAUUCCUGCUACACACUCAAUUAUGCAAAACAUACAAACUAUUAAAAAUGAAAUAAAGAUGAACUAACUAAAUCAACCUAAACUGAAUAAAUAAAGAGUAGAUAGAGAUAGACAUAAUGGGUUGCCUCCCAUCAAGCGCUAAGUUAUAGUCAAUUAGCUUGACUGUCUUUGAAUCUCACGUUGAAGAAAGAAUUAAGGUGACUUUCUGUCUGUCCACCUCACUCCUCACAUUAAUGACUUCAACUUUUGUCAAUGGCUCUACCUCCAACUCUGAAUUUUCACAAGUUACACACCUCAAUGGUUCAUAAUUCACCAAAUUCUGUACCUCAUCAUUUAGUCCCCGAUCCACCAAAUCAACCUGGAAACAUUCUUCUUCAUAUGUUGGGAACUUCAUUGACUUGAAGACAUUUAAGGUAACCUCCUGAUCAUGUACACGCAUCGUGAGUUCCCCUUUUUGCACAUCUAUCGAAGUCCUGCCUGUAGCUAAGAAUGGUCUCCCCGGUAUGAUUGGUAUGCUUUUAUCUUCCUCAUAAUCCAAAAUGAUGAAAUCAGCCGAAAAGAUAAAUUUGUCCACUUUCACCAACACAUCUUCAACAAUUCCCCAUGGAUACGUGAUGGAUCUGUCAGCUAGCUACAAAGAAAUGUUUGUCGGCCUUGGAGCCAGCAAUCCCAAUUGAUUGAAUACUGACAAGGGCAUCAAAUUUAUACUUGCCCCAAGAUCACAUAAACACUUACUGAAGCUCAUCUUCCCGAUUGUGCAAAUGCAAAAAAGUUUAGAUGGGGGAAUAAAUAAGGAAGAAGUAGAAAAAAAUCUCGGAUUUAGAUUUAUUCAAUCAAUAAUAAGUAGAAUAAAUUUUUUUAAUUCCUUGUUUAUUACGUGUUAGUAAAGUUCCAACGAAAGCCGCCCAAUUGAAGGAAAUGCCAGAAUUUUACAUUUCUAGGAUCAACCAACUAGGGUUAUGUCGUUAUAAAAUAUUAGAUUCUAUAGAAGCAAUCAAUGAUAAAUAGAUACGAAUAGGGCGCAAAAAAGGGGGGGAAAUAAAAAACAAAGUAUAGAAAAGUUAUACAAAAUUUUAUACGAAUCACGGCCCCCUUUUUUUAUUUCCUUAAUUGAAUUUCGUUUGAUUUUGAUUAGGGCAAAGUUACUUAAAAACCUCCGCCUUCUUUAAAAUAUCCCGAACAGUUCCUGUCGGCUGAGCGCCUUUUUCAAGGAAAUAUAGAAUAGCGGGAACAUUUAAACAACUUUGAUUCUUUAUCGGAUCAUAAAAACCCACUUUCCGAAGAUCUCUUCCUUCUCUUCGGGAUCGAACAUCAAUUGCAACGAUUCGAUAGACGGCUCAUUGGGAUAGAUGUUAGUAAAUGAACAAGACCCCCCCCCCUAGAAAUGUAUAGGAAGUUUUCUCCUCGUACGACUCGAGAAAAAAUGAUUCGAGGUUUUGUCUAUGUAUAGAAUUCUAAUGAAUGACAAAAGGGUUGAUAAAAUCAAUUAGACUAGGAUUUCACUCAUUUUUUUCUUCGUUCUUCCUGAAAAAAAAAGAAAAAAUCAUUUGUACUCAUAACUCAAGUUGGAUAAUUCUCAAAUAGCUCAAAAGAAAAUCAAAUCUUUAAGCAAUUUAUUUCAUUUAUUGAAUGGUCUUUAACCCCCCUUUUGUUUGUCUCGUUUAAAAUACAAUCAUCUAUUUGGAUUUGGAUUCUUUAGUCUGAUCCAGUUAUUGAGACAAUGGAAACGGCGUUUCCUUGUUCUGGGAUCCUUUUUCUUUGUUUUAAAUCAUUGGGUUUAGACAUUACUUCGGUGCUUCUUAAUCCUUCCAACAAAAUGGCAGCAACAUACCCCUUUUGUGAUUUCUUUCUAUCAAAGAAUCAUACGAAUGGUUGAUUCCCCGCGAUACACUUUGAAUCGAAAGAGUUUUAUCAAUUCCAACAAAAUUUCCUUUUGAAUUGAAAACUUGCCCGAAUCGGAUCCUUUCGAUUUCUAUAUUGAUGAUAUAUUUACGAAGUUGUUCCAAUUUAUUGAUUGGCAUUAACCCUAGAUCCUUGCCCCUGAAAGCUGAAUCAAUACUUUACUACUCGAGCUCCAUCAUGUACUAUUUACAUUACAACCCAACAAAAAGAGGGGUUCUAGUGGAACAGAACAAACGAUGUCGGGCCAAGAGCACCUUCAUUCCUAUAUAAAAUGGCGGAUGUAAGAAUAAGAGAAUCCACACCGGAUCGUGUCCUUCAAGUCGCACGUUGCUUUCUACCACAUCGUUUCAAACGAAGUUUUACCAUAACAUUCCUCUAAUUUGGAGCCAGUAUGGAAUUGAUUCAAUUAUGGAAUCAUGAAUAGUCAUUGGUUCAGUCGGUACAUAGCCAUAUUAAUCUAUACCUUUUUUCUUCUAUACAUAGAUGAUUUUUCUGAAGAAAUCUUAGCAAGACCCCACCUUUUAUUGUAUAAAUGCAACUUUUUUUAUAAAAAAACAAACUAACAGAAAUAACAUAACUAACAUAAAUAACACGAAUAAAUGAAUUCUUUUCAACCCUGCAUCUUCAAGUGACUCAAUAGAAGAGAUUGACCCAUCUCCGACUUCUUUGAAUACCAAAGAUUCAACUCAUAAGGAAUCAUUCAAAAUUUUUAUAAUCGAACGGGUUUCCUAUUUCGACAUCAUUUUUGGAAUAAAGUUUUACGGUAAAGACUACACUUGAUCAUCAUAAAAAAAAAGAGAAUCAUCAUAAAAAAAAAGAGAAAUAUCUCUUUCUUUUCGAAUUGAAUCAUCAAUGAUUUAAAGCCGAUAAAUAGAUUGAACAAGAAACCCAAAUUUUUUCGUGAGAUGAAUAAAAAAGACUGAUAUAAGAGAAGAUUUAGGUCCUUAGUCGUUCGAUUCUUAUUUUAUUAAUCAGACGAACGAGUAGGGGUUUUUCGUAUCUAUCAGAUAGAUUGAACAACUGUCACUGUUAUGGAUAUUCUAUGUUUUGGAUAUUCUAUAUUAAAUAUUUCAAUAUUUAAGGGAUUCCAUUUCUUUUUCACAAAAAUGGAAAGGCUGUUGUCACUGAACGUUGUCACUAAAAUAGAACGAAAUCGAAUAAUAAAAAUACAUAUAUAUUACAUAUUAAGUUAAACG